CCUACGGGUGGCAGCAGUGGGGAAUAUUGCGCAAUGGGCGAAAGCCUGACGCAGCGACGCCGCGUGAGGGAUGAAGGUCCUCGGAUUGUAAACCUCUGUUAGCAGGGAAGAACGGUCACUGUGCUAUUCAGCAGUGAAUUGACGGUACUCGCAAAGGAAGCACCGGCUAACUCCGUGCCAGCAGCCGCGGUAAUACGGAGGGUGCGAGCGUUAAUCGGAAUUACUGGGCGUAAAGCGCGCGUAGGCGGUAUGUCAAGUCAAGGGUGAAAUCCCCGCGCUCAACGUGGGAACCGCCUUUGAAACUGGCAGACUGGAGUGUGUGAGAGGAUAGUGGAAUUCCAGGUGUAGGAGUGAAAUCCGUAGAUAUCUGGAGGAACAUCAGUGGCGAAGGCGGCUAUCUGGCACAUAACUGACGCUGAGGAGCGAAAGCGUGGGUAGCAAACAGGAUUAGAUACCCGGGUAGUC
rnacentral:rRNA from 1 species